CAUUAAGAAGCUUUCACGAUAAGCAAUAGCCUUUUAAGCUAUAGUCGGUGUAUUCGACCACCCUUAAUGA
rnacentral:tRNA from 1 species